GAAUCGACGCCUGCGCAGGGCGCAGUCACGUGGUUUACUUGAGGAAAACCAUUUUAUAUAAGUACAAUCCGCAGUAUUAUUGGAAUAUGACAUAAGUCCCCUGGUGUUUAGGUUUACGUGUGAUAGUUACAAUGCCACUAGCAGAGGGCGAGUCAGCCACCACGCCCACUGAACCUGAACAUUGCGAGGUGGUCGCCGGAGUGCUGUAUCUGUUGCUGGGCGUGGUGCUGGUGGGAGCAUACGUCUUGUGGCGGCGACGGUUGUGACCUCGCCCCCACUGCUGCGAUAAUACAAGGCGUGCAGUACACCAAAUGGAAUAGCAUCGACCUUCAGCGUGAACUGUCAAGUAGAACGUCAAUCUAUCCUGGACCCUGGUUUCCAAUAUAUACUGUAUCGCAGCAUUGAAUUAGUUAUUUAGGCGGUAAGGCGAAAUUCCUCACCAAUCGAUAUAAUUAUGGCAGUCAGUUUAAACUGUGGCAUUGUGACGGCGUUGACACUUUGUGUAUAGUGCCCGCUAUGCAGACGGAUGUAAAUAUCCUACAACCAUCGUUGUCGCAUCACCUCGCCACUCACAACUUCAUUUCAGCCAAUCAACAUUUGGCAGAUCAAAAUGUAGAGAGAAAUUUCUCACAAUUCCUCCUGGUCUAAUCCCAGUCCAAUGUGCGAUAAGCGUAAUAUAAUUAUCACGAAUCUAGCUUCUAUCAAAGACCAUUCUAACGUCAACUACCCUUGUUGGGUUAAAUUGUUUUUAUUUUAUAAGUGUUAAGAUUUGAUGUCUGUUUUCUAAAUGAUGUUAAAUGAAAUAAAAUAGUAGACACAUCAGGAAGCCGCGCAGUAACUUUUAUAAAUGUUGGAAAAGUAUUUAUUAAUUUCAGUGAGAUUUUGAAGUGAGGUGGGCACUUCCUAAAAAGCUGCGCCGAUAAUAUUUACGCUAGACCAAAUAGGAUUCAAUAGAAAGCCUAGACUAAAAAUUUGAUGUGAAUAAACAUAUUAUUAUUAUUUUUGUUAUAUUUACUAUAAUUAUUUGGUAUGUUUUUUUACUUACUAUUUAUUAUUAAGGCCUGAUUUUUUAAACAUUAAUCCCCUUAUUGUAUUGCGUUCGGGGUACGAUACUGCUCUGACGUCCCGGGUUCGAAUCCUGGGUCAGGAAAAGUGAUAUUGGGUUUUUUGCUUAGUGUUACUCCGAAGUCUGGCAUGUAUGCCCGCGAUGGCGACAGACUUGUCCCCUAUCACGUUAUGGGACGGAACAUAUAGGUGAAAACUGGCUGCCCUAGUUAUACCUCUACCUGAGAUGAAAGGUAUGACGUAUCUAUGUAUGUGUGUAAAUGAGAAAAUGUCUGGAUAUAAAAGUGAUUAUCCUGGUUUCAUUCAUACAACAUUAUUGUAUCUGUUUAUGUUGCAUUUUAUACUAGAAUAACUUUUCUGGUGAUUAAAGAAUCGGUGUCACGUUUCCUUCGACUCUUUCCACACAACAAUAUUAUAUUAUUGUAGAAAAGCUUUGGUACCUAUUCGGAACAAGUUCCACAAACUAGUUACAAUAUAAUAUUAGUUUUAAGCUUAUAAAUAGUAUUUGGAAUUUAAAGUUGUGGAUAAACUAUAUUUAUAUGAUAUAAUAUAUUAUAAUUCAUUCUUAUUUUUUAUUCAGAUACAAUUUUCAUGGAUGCUGGUUGACUGGGACAGAAUGUUUACGGCAUUAAGUCCACCUGUGUACAAUAUAUAAUUGCAUGUAAAAUGUAAAUAAAUAAGUUAUUAUGAACCUUU